CACGUAGGUGGCAAGCGUUGUCCGGAUUUACUGGGUGUAAAGGGCGUGCAGCCGGGCUGACAAGUCAGAUGUGAAAUCCCGCGGCUCAACCGCGGAACUGCAUUUGAAACUGUCAGUCUUGAGUACCGGAGAGGUCAUCGGAAUUCCUUGUGUAGCGGUGAAAUGCGUAGAUAUAAGGAAGAACACCAGUGGCGAAGGCGGAUGACUGGACGGCAACUGACGGUGAGGCGCGAAAGCGUGGGGAGCAAACAGG
rnacentral:rRNA from 1 species